rnacentral:tRNA from 1 species
UAAUUUUAGAAAAAUAGGAAUUGAACCUAUAA